rnacentral:rRNA from 1 species
UUGUCUUUUAAAUGAAGACCCGUAUGAAUGGCAUAACGAGGGCUUAACUGUCUCCUUUUUCCAGUCCAUGAAAUUGAUCUUCCCGUGCAGAAGCGGGAAUAAUAGCAUAAGACGAGAAGACCCUAUGGAGCUUUAGACACCAGAAUAGCCCCCCAAGUAACCCCUCCCCAAAAGGUGUAAGCAACCAGUUCCUAUUCCAAUGUCUUUGGUUGGGGCGACCGCGAGGAAACAAAAAACCCCCGCGUGGAACGAGAAUACUUAUUCCCACAACCCAGAGUUACAACUCAAAGUAACAGAACUUCUGACCAUACAAGAUCCGGCACUAACCGAUCAACGAACCGAGUUACCCUAGGGAUAACAGCGCAAUCCUUUUCUAGAGUUCAUAUCGACAAGAGGGUUUACGACCUCGAUGUUGGAUCAGGACAUCCUAAU